CCUACGGGUGGCAGCAGUGAGGAAUAUUGGUCAAUGGGCGGGAGCCUGAACCAGCCAAGCCGCGUGAGGGAAGAAGGUACAGCGUAUCGUAAACCUCUUUUGUCGGGGAGCAAAGCGAGUCACGUGUGACUCAUUGAGAGUACCCGAAGAAAAAGCAUCGGCUAACUCCGUGCCAGCAGCCGCGGUAAUACGGAGGAUGCGAGCGUUAUCCGGAUUUAUUGGGUUUAAAGGGUGCGCAGGCGGAGGUGCAAGUCAGCGGUCAAAUUGCGGGGCUCAACCCCGUACUGCCGUUGAAACUGCAUCCCUUGAGUGCGCGAGAAGUAUGCGGAAUGCGUGGUGUAGCGGUGAAAUGCAUAGAUAUCACGCAGAACUCCGAUUGCGAAGGCAGCAUACCGGCGCGCAACUGACGCUCAUGCACGAAAGCGUGGGUAUCGAACAGGAUUAGAUACCCGAGUAGUC
rnacentral:rRNA from 1 species